AUGCUCAUUUCAGCAGCACGUGUACUAAAAUGGAAACACUACAGAGAAGAUUAGCAUGCCCUGUGUAAGCAUGCCACACAAAUUCAUGAAACAUUUAUCUUUAUG
ensembl:snRNA U6 U6 spliceosomal RNA